rnacentral:snRNA from 1 species
GUGCUCGCUUCAGCAGCACAUAUACUAAAAUUGGAACGAUACAGAGAGGAAUAGCAUGGCCCCUCCACAAGGAUGACACGCAAAUUCGUGGGAGUCUGGGGUUAACAGUAGUAAACUAUU